GUCUGCUUAGCUCAAUGGUGGAGCGCCAGUCAUCAGUAUACCUACUUUGAGUCUACAUGUCUGGAAGUUGCGAGUUCGACUCUCGCAGCGGACC